rnacentral:tRNA from 2 species
GAUCGCGUAGCUCAGUUGGUAGAGCACUACCUUGACAUGGUAGGGGUCGUUGGUUCAAGUCCAAUCGUGAUCACCA